CAGCUCAAGGCACUUUCUUUCCAUGCGUGUACCGUGCUGUUGGAGGCUUGGUGUUUGUCAUCAUAGUGAUAGCGAUAUCCAUCACACCGACGUGACUGUUCAGAGGUUUCUGUUGUGCAGGAUGAACCAGGGACGCGGCAGAUCCAACCUGCCAGACUCCCCAUUAUGCCUCGUCCACCAUUGAUGACUAUGAAAAUGAUUUGACUUAAAAUCAAUCUGUUAAACGUUAUGAUACCAGGGCUAAUAUCAAAACAAGUAAUGUAAUUAUCUAAAGAUUAGAACUUAUCUCUGAUAUAUUACAUUUUUCCGGAUUUCUGUGUGAAAUUAGUCAAUCAGUGAAAGGCUUUGCCAUUAUUGUACUUUGUAUUGUGUAUUGUAUUUUAGAUCUGUUGUUCAUUCCUUCAUAGAGCUGUUUUCUUGACUCCAUUUUGUGCACUUGAAUUCCUGUAAAUCAAAGUGUAGUAACACAGCAGUUAAAAUUACAAAAUAAAGUGAUAUUGUUUGAUCAGG